UACGUAGGAGGCAAGCGUUGUCCGGAAUUACUGGGUGUAAAGCGCGUGUAGGUGGUGGGCCAAGUCUGUGGUGAAAUCGCCCGGCUCAACUGGGCGAGGUCCGUGGAAACUGGUUGACUGGAGGACGGUAGAGGCGAGUGGAAUUCCCGGUGUAGUGGUGAAAUUCGUAGAUAUUCGGAAGAACACCAGUGGCGAAGGCGACUCACUGGACACGUAUUGACGCUGAGGUGCGAAAGCGUGGGGAGCAAACAGG
rnacentral:rRNA from 1 species